UAGUCAUAUGCUUGUCUCAAAGAUUAAGCCAUGCAUGUCUAAGUAUAAGCAAUUUAUACUGUGAAACUGCGAAUGGCUCAUUAAAUCAGUUAUAGUUUAUUUGAUAUUACCUUACUACUUGGAUAACCGUGGUAAUUCUAGUGCUAAUACAUGCUUUAAACCCCGACUUCUGGAAGGGGUGUAUUUAUUAGAUAAAAAACCAAUCGCAGCAAUGCGUUAACUGGUGAAUCAUGAUAACUAUUCGAAUCGCAUAGCUUCGGCUGGCGAUGGUUCAUUC
rnacentral:rRNA from 1 species